rnacentral:lncRNA from 1 species
AAGAGAGAAUCAACCAAGGGGAGAUGGUCCCAGAAGUCAAACAGAAGGGAGUGAUUCGCUGUGAUGAAUGCUGCAGAGGCCAAAUAAGGUGGGAACUUUGGCUUUAGACAUGUGGACAUUAGAGUGAUCUUAGACUGAGAAGUUUUAAGAGAUGAUAGGGUUGGAAUUUCAUUGGGAAUAAUUUGAAGAGUAACAGGGGAGAAAAUAGAGACAACAAAAGCACAUACUCUUUAAAGAAGUUUUGCUAUACAGGAGAUAGAAUAAUGGAUGGGCAGGCAUAGGAGAUCAAGGAAGCAUCUUUUUAAAAACUACAGACGUCAGCAUGUUUAAACAAGAAGAGAGAGUGUGACAGAGAGGGAGAGGAAAGAAAGUUGGAGUAAGAGUGAGAAAGAGUAAGAUUAAUAGAUAGCAAAAUAUAGCUGGGCGAGGUGGCUCAUGCCUGUAAUCUCAGCACUUUGGGAGGCCGGGCGGGGGGAAAAUGUUUCACGAGGUCAGGAGUUCGAGACCACCCUGGCCAACAUGGUGAAACCCCGUCUGUACUAAAAAUACAAAAAUUAGCCGAGUGUGGUGGCUCAUGCCUGUAAUCUCAGCUACUUGGCUGGCUGAGACAGGAGAAGAAUCCCUUGAACCUAGGGAGGCAGAGGUUGUAGUGAGCCAAGAUCGUGCCACUGCACUCUAGCCUGGGUGACAGAGAGAGACUCCGUCUCAAAAAAGAAGAAGAAGAAAAAAAGCAUAAGAUAUCCAAGAAAAUUAGAGAGAAUAAGAUUCAGAACCUAAGAAAAGAAGACAGCAAGAAGAAGCCACUUUGAGCCCCUAUGAUUUCAUCUUUGAUCCACUCAUCCAGCACUCCAUACUCCUUGAUCCCUACCCACCAAAUUCUCCUUAAAAGCCCUGGUCUCCAAAUGUUCAAGGCGACCGAUUUGAGUAAUAAAACUCUAGUCUCCCAUUU